rnacentral:rRNA from 1 species
GACGAACGCUGGCGGCGUGCUUAACACAUGCAAGUCGAACGGUAAGGCUCCAGCUUGCUGGGGUACACGAGUGGCGAACGGGUGAGUAACACGUGGGUGACCUGCCCUGCACUUCGGGAUAAGCCUGGGAAACUGGGUCUAAUACCGGAUAGGACCAUGGUGUGGAUACUGUGGUGGAAAGUUUUUUCGGUGUGGGAUGGGCCCGCGGCCUAUCAGCUUGUUGGUGGGGUAAUGGCCUACCAAGGCGGCGACGGGUAGCCGGCCUGAGAGGGUGGACGGCCACAUUGGGACUGAGACACGGCCCAGACUCCUACGGGAGGCAGCAGUGGGGAAUAUUGCACAAUGGGCGGAAGCCUGGUGCAGCGACGCCGCGUGGGGGAUGACGGCCUUCGGGUUGUAAACUCCUUUCACCAUCGACGAAGGGUUUCUGACGGUAGAUGGAGAAGAAGCACCGGCUAACUACGUG